UGGGGAAUUUUGGACAAUGGGCGAAAGCCUGAUCCAGCAAUGCCGCGUGUGUGGAGAAGGCCUUCGGGUUGUAAAGCACUUUUGUCCGGAAAGAAAUCCUUGGCUCUAAUACAGUCGGGGGAUGACGGUACCGGAAGAAUAAGCACCGGCUAACUACGUGCCAGCAGCCGCGGUAAUACGAAGGGUGCAAGCGUUACUCGGAAUUACUGGGCGUAAAGCGUGUGUAGGUGGUCGUUUAAGUCUGUUGUGAAAGCCCUGGGCUCAACCUGGGAACUGCAGUGGAAACUGGACGACUAGAGUGUGGUAGAGGGUAGCGGAAUUCCUGGUGUAGCAGUGAAAUGCGUAGAUAUGCGGAGGAACACCGAUGGCGAAGGCAAUCCCCUGGACCUGUACUGACGCUCAUGCACGAAAGCGUGGGGAGCAAACA
rnacentral:rRNA from 1 species